AUCAUCGAGUCUUUGAACGCAAGUGGCGCUCUCGGGGGUCUUCCCGAGAGCACGUCUGCCUGAGCGCCUG
rnacentral:rRNA from 1 species